UCCCUGGUGGCCUAGUGGUUAAGGAUAUGGCUUUGUCACUGCUGUGGCCCAGGUUUGAUCCCUGGCCCAGGAA
rfam:Sus scrofa chromosome 3.